UGCCACUUGCUCAGUAGGUGCUGAACCACUACCUAUCAAUGGACAACUCGGGCUUGGGUGAUUUGCUCCACAAAUAUCACAAAUAGGCGGAGAUUGUACCAUAUGAGUGGAAUGAGAGCUCGAGGUAGAUGUAGAAAGUCCUUCUACUUUCUUUGCUAGUGAGUCGAUCUUUGCUAGAACCAUUGAGAAAACUUCACCAUCUCGA
rnacentral:lncRNA from 1 species